rnacentral:rRNA from 1 species
UGGGGAAUAUUGCACAAUGGGCGCAAGCCUGAUGCAGCCAUGCCGCGUGUGUGAAGAAGGCCUUCGGGUUGUAAAGCACUUUCAGCGAGGAGGAAGGUGGUGAACUUAAUACGUUCAUCAAUUGACGUUACUCGCAGAAGAAGCACCGGCUAACUCCGUGCCAGCAGCCGCGGUAAUACGGAGGGUGCAAGCGUUAAUCGGAAUUACUGGGCGUAAAGCGCACGCAGGCGGUUUGUUAAGUCAGAUGUGAAAUCCCCCGGGCUCAACCUGGGAACUGCAUUUGAAACUGGCAAGCUAGAGUCUCGUAGAGGGGGGUAGAAUUCCAGGUGUAGCGGUGAAAUGCGUAGAGAUCUGGAGGAAUACCGGUGGCGAAGGCGGCCCCCCGGACGAAGACUGACGCUCAGGUGCGAAAAGCGUGGGGCAGCAAAACAGGAUUAGAUACCCUGGUAGUCCACGCUGUAAAACGAUGUCGA